ACUCUUGGCAAUAGAUAUCUCAACUCUUGCAUCGAUGAAGAACAUAAAGAAAUGCGAUACUUGGUGUGAAUUGCAAAAUCUCAGAACCAUCGAGUCUUUGAAUGUAAGUUACGCCUCAAGCCAUUAGGUCGAGGGCACGCUUACCUAGGUGUCAUGUACCAUCGCUCCCCUUUGACCCCUCACCCAUCAGGCUCCAAGGGAAAGGGGCUGGUGAAAGAUGGCCUUCUACGAUCCCGUUGAUAGCGAUUGGCCCAAAAGGGAGUCCCCGGCAAUGAUAGCUCGUGAUCGUCGGUGGUAGAGCUCCCGAUGUGCCUCAUCCCCAGUGACGCGCUCUUAUUGUCCACCCGGACCCCGUCAGACCCUCGUAUCGCUCGAUCGAUGCUCGUGUCGUGACCUCAGGUCAAGCGGGAUCACCUACUGAGUUUAAGCAUAUCAAUAAGUGGAGGAAAAGAAACUUACCAAGAUUUCUCUAGUAACGGUGAGCGAACCGAAAAGAGCCCAACUUGAGAAUCGGGCACCCCCGACAUCUAAAUUAUAGUCUGAAGAAGCGUCCUCAGUGACGAAAAAGGUUAAAGCCCCCUGGAAAAAGGCGUUGGAGAGGGUGAGAGCCCCGUUAUGCCUAGACCUUGUCACACCACGAGGCACUAUCCGCGAGUUGGGUUACUUAGGAAUGCAGCCUCAAUCGGGCGAUAAAUUUUAUCUAAGGUUGAAUACGGGUGAGAGACCAUUAGCGAACAAGUACCACGAGGGAAAGAUGAAAAAGACUUUCAAAAGAGAGUCAAAAAGUGCUUGGAAUUAUCAGGAAGGAAGCAGAUGGGGGUCAGCGAUGUGCCUAGGUCAGAUGUGGAAUGAUGAGCUUUGAAAGGGAAUCAGGUUAAAAUUCUUGAACUAGGACACAAUGGCUGAUAACUACGUUAGUGAGUCCAGAGACAUUGGCGGGGGCCUCAAGAAGAGUUUUCUUUUCUAUUUAACGGCCCACCCACCCUGGAAAUGACUUAGUUAGAGGAAAGGGUCUAGUGGCCAGAAGAGCACUGCACGUCGCAUGGUGUCCAGUGCACCCCCAAUAGCCCUUCAACAUUUGAAGGGUCGAGUGUCGUUUGCACCCCAUCAUAGUUAUAAUCAUAUUAGGUCUCCAAGGUGAACGGCCUCUGAUCGAUGGAACAAAUGUAGGCAAGGGAAGUUGGCAAAAUGGAUCCGUAACUUCAGGAAAAGGAUUGGCUUUGAAGGUUAGGCGUGGGGUCCUAGUCUCGAACCCAUCGACUAUCGGUGCACUGCUUGAGCUACUCCCACAACAAGAGUAGGUCAUCGAGUACCGAUCGAGGGAUGGAAUAGGAACGGCUCCUUCAAGGGCCUUUCCCAGGCGACGAACAGUUGACUCAGCACUAGUAGGGACAAGGGGAAUCUGACUGUUUAAUUAAAACAAAGCAUUGCGAUGGUCCCUACAAAUGCUCACGCAAUGUGAUUUUUACCCAGUGCUCUAAAUGUCAAAGUGAAAAAAUUCAACCAAGUGUGGGUAAACGACGGGAGUAACUAUGACUCUCUUAAGGUAGCCAAAUGCCUCGCCAUCUAAUUAGUGAUGUGCAUGAAUGGAUUAAUAGGAUUUCCACUAUCCCUAUCUACUAUCCAGUGAAACCACAGCCAAGGGAACAAGCUUGGUGGAAUCAACAGGGAAAGAAGACCUUGUUGAGCUUGACUCUAGUCUGACUUUGUGAAAUGACUUGAGUGGUGUAGGAUAAGUGGGAGCCCCUGGGUGAAAUUGAAAUACCACUAUUUUUAAUGUAAUUUUACUUAUUCUGUGAAUUGGAGGUGGGGCAUGACCCCUUCUUUUGGACGUAAGGCCUGCCUCGAUCGGUCGAUCUGGGCAAAAGACAUUGUCAAGUGGGGAGUUUGGUUAGGGUGGCACAUCUAUUAAAAGAUAACAUAGGUGUCCUAAGAUGAGCUCAACGAGAACAGAAAUCUCAUAUGGAAUAUAAGGGUAAAAGCCCAUUUGAUUCUUAUUUCUAGUACAAAAAGGAACCAUGAAUUCGUGGCCUAUCGAUCCUUUAGACCUUUAGGAUUUGAAGCUAGAGGUGUCAGAAAAGUUAGCACAGGGAUAACUGGCUUGUGGUAGCCAAGCGUUCAUAGUGACGUUAUUUUUUUAUCCUUCGAUGUCGGCUUUUCCUACCAUUAUGAAGUAGAAUUCACCAAGUGUUGGAUUGUUCACCCAUCAAUAGGGAACGUGAGCUGGGUUUAGACCAUCGUGACACAGGUUAGUUUUACCCUACUGAUGGUGGCGUCACGAUAGUAAUUCAACCUAGUACGAGAGGAACCGUUGAUUCGCACAAUUUGUCAUCGUGCUUGGUUGAAAAGCCAGUGGCACGAAGCUAACUACGCUGGAUUAUGACUGAAUGCCUUUAAGUCAAAAUCUAGGCUAGAAGUGACGUGUGCACCCAUUGCCUGAUUGU
rnacentral:rRNA from 1 species